UACGAAGGGGGCUAGCGUUGCUCGGAAUUACUGGCGUAAAGGGCGCGUAGGCGGACAUUUAAGUUAGAGGUGAAAGCCCAGGGCUCAACCCUGGAAUAGCCUUUAAUACUGGAUGUCUUGAGUUCGGGAGAGGUGAGUGGAAUGCCGAGUGUAGAGGUGAAAUUCGUAGAUAUUCGGCGGAACACCAGUGGCGAAGGCGACUCACUGGCCCGAUACUGACGCUGAGGCGCGAAAGCGUGGGAGCAAACAGG
rnacentral:rRNA from 1 species